AGCUUGCUCCACCGGAAAAAGAAGAGUGGCGAACGGGUGAGUAACACGUGGGUAACCUGCCCAUCAGAAGGGGAUAACACUUGGAAACAGGUGCUAAUACCGUAUAACAAUCGAAACCGCAUGGUUUUGAUUUGAAAGGCGCUUUCGGGUGUCGCUGAUGGAUGGACCCGCGGUGCAUUAGCUAGUUGGUGAGGUAACGGCUCACCAAGGCCACGAUGCAUAGCCGACCUGAGAGGGUGAUCGGCCACAUUGGGACUGAGACACGGCCCAAACUCCUACGGGAGGCAGCAGUAGGGAAUCUUCGGCAAUGGACGAAAGUCUGACCGAGCAACGCCGCGUGAGUGAAGAAGGUUUUCGGAUCGUAAAACUCUGUUGUUAGAGAAGAACAAGGAUGAGAGUAACUGUUCAUCCCUUGACGGUAUCUAACCAGAAAGCCACGGCUAACUACGUGCCAGCAGCCGCGGUAAUACGUAGGUGGCAAGCGUUGUCCGGAUUUAUUGGGCGUAAAGCGAGCGCAGGCGGUUUCUUAAGUCUGAUGUGAAAGCCCCCGGCUCAACCGGGGAGGGUCAUUGGAAACUGGGAGACUUGAGUGCAGAAGAGGAGAGUGGAAUUCCAUGUGUAGCGGUGAAAUGCGUAGAUAUAUGGAGGAACACCAGUGGCGAAGGCGGCUCUCUGGUCUGUAACUGACGCUGAGGCUCGAAAGCGUGGGGAGCAAACAGGAUUAGAUACCCUGGUAGUCCACGCCGUAAACGAUGAGUGCUAAGUGUUGGAGGGUUUCCGCCCUUCAGUGCUGCAGCUAACGCAUUAAGCACUCCGCCUGGGGAGUACGACCGCAAGGUUGAAACUCAAAGGAAUUGACGGGGGCCCGCACAAGCGGUGGAGCAUGUGGUUUAAUUCGAAGCAACGCGAAGAACCUUACCAGGUCUUGACAUCCUUUGACCACUCUAGAGAUAGAGCUUCCCCUUCGGGGGCAAAGUGACAGGUGGUGCAUGGUUGUCGUCAGCUCGUGUCGUGAGAUGUUGGGUUAAGUCCCGCAACGAGCGCAACCCUUAUUGUUAGUUGCCAUCAUUUAGUUGGGCACUCUAGCAAGACUGCCGGUGACAAACCGGAGGAAGGUGGGGAUGACGUCAAAUCAUCAUGCCCCUUAUGACCUGGGCUACACACGUGCUACAAUGGGAAGUACAACGAGUCGCGAAGUCGCGAGGCUAAGCUAAUCUCUUAAAGCUUCUCUCAGUUCGGAUUGUAGGCUGCAACUCGCCUACAUGAAGCCGGAAUCGCUAGUAAUCGCGGAUCAGCACGCCGCGGUGAAUACGUUCCCGGGCCUUGUACACACCGCCCGUCACACCACGAGAGUUUGUAACACC
rnacentral:rRNA from 1 species